rnacentral:misc_RNA from 1 species
GAAAUGCGAUAAGUAGUGUGAAUUGCAGAAUUCAGUGAAUCAUCGAAUCUUUGAACGCACAUUGCGCCCUAUGGUAUUCCGUAGGGCAUGCCUGUUCGAGCGUCAUUUACACCUUCAAGCCUUGCUUGGUGUUGGGUGACUGUGGCCCCUUUGGGGCCACUCGCCUUAAAGUCAUUGGCGGCCGGUUCGUUGGCUUUGUAGCGCAGCACAAUUGCGUCAUCGAAGCCGCUGGACCAGCUCCCAGAAGCUAAUUUUAAAUGUUUGACCUCGAAUCAGGUAGGGAUACCCGCUUAACUUAAGC